UCGACAGCCCCUUUUCCUCCCUCCAUAACCACUUUCUCCACAAAAUUCCAUUGAUGAAGCAAUUGCAUGAUUGGAUUAUUUUGGAGGAAAAAAGAAAAAAAGAUCGGCGAAAGAAGAGACGACAAACAGAAAGGUUUGGAAAUAAACGCGGUCCAGGUUAGUCGGCAUUGGAGAGUACCCAUCGAUGUUUCUUCAUGUCUGUCUUAGCGAUGCAUCCUUGGCGGUUCAUUAAGUUCUAUCAGUGAUAGAUCUUUCGAAUGGUUAGUUGUGGCAUGUUAGCACUAUAAUUGAUUCGUUUCAUUGAAGUUUCAAUACAUGCAAUUUUGUUUACUUUA